UGUAAGCGUAUACCAAAGUUGUUGCAGUUAAAACGCUCGUAGUCGGAAUUUGGCAGUUCCGGAUGUGUGCACGUCGUGUGCGCACUUCGCGGGGAUUGCUUUUGUGGUCUUGCGUAGGAUGAGGCACUUUUAUUAGUGAACGUCCUCACGCAACCACUUUUUACUGUGAGAAAAUCAGAGUGCUCAAAGCAGGCAUUUGCCGUGAAUGUAUUAGCAUGGAAUAAUAGAAUAGUACUUGGUUCUAUUUUGUUGGUUUGUUGGGACUGAGUAAUGAUUAAGAGGGACAGUUGGGGGCAUUUGUAUUUCGGUGCUAGAGGUGAAAUUCUUAGAUUACCGAAAGACAAACUGCUGCGAAAGCGUCUGCCAAGGAUGUUUUCAUUGA
rnacentral:rRNA from 1 species